rnacentral:misc_RNA from 1 species
UGAUGCUCUGAAACAGCUACUUGGCUUUGAAGUGGUGACAGAUUUUGGACAAUUUGAUUGGCAGUUCUAUCUUUUGGUUUUUCUGAUUUGGAGGAGUACCUUUCUUUUGUUUGUUAAAAUCAAUUUGGUUCCUUCUUUUUUGGCCUUUUGCUUUAUUUUUUCGGGUUUCUAAAUUGCAUGGUAUUUUUUUUCUUUUAAACUUUAAGCCAAAGACCAGUAUAGUGGCUAAUUGGCAGAGAAGGUAAAAAGGGUGAGAGAGCAUAACAAUGACCUUGGGUCCUCGGGGAUUGAAAACAAAAAUG